rnacentral:rRNA from 1 species
UACAGAGGUCUCAACCGUUGUUCGGAUUCAUUGGGCGUAAAGGGUGCGUAGGCGGUCGGGUAAGUCGGAUGUGAAAUCUCAGGGCUCAACCCUGAAACUGCAUUCGAUACUGCCUGGCUAGGGUACUGGAGAGGAGACUGGAAUUUACGGUGUAGCAGUGAAAUGCGUAGAUAUCGUAAGGAAGACCAGUGGCGAAGGCGAGUCUCUGGACAGUUACCGACGCUGAGGAGCGAAAGCCAGGGGAGCAAACGGG